GACGAACGCUGGCGGCGUGCUUAACACAUGCAAGUCGAACGGAAAGGCCCUGCUUUUGUGGGGUGCUCGAGUGGCGAACGGGUGAGUAACACGUGAGUAACCUGCCCUUGACUUUGGGAUAACUUCAGGAAACUGGGGCUAAUACCGGAUAGGAGCUCCUGCUGCGUGGUGGGGGUUGGAAAGUUUCGGCGGUUGGGGAUGGACUCGCGGCUUAUCAGCUUGUUGGUGGGGUAGUGGCUUACCAAGGCUUUGACGGGUAGCCGGCCUGAGAGGGUGACCGGCCACAUUGGGACUGAGAUACGGCCCAGACUCCUACGGGAGGCAGCAGUGGGGAAUAUUGCACAAUGGGCGGAAGCCUGAUGCAGCGACGCCGCGUGCGGGAUGACGGCCUUCGGGUUGUAAACCGCUUUCGCCUGUGACGAAGCGUGAGUGACGGUAAUGGGUAAAGAAGCACCGGCUAACUACGUG
rnacentral:rRNA from 1 species